rnacentral:rRNA from 1 species
UACGAAGGGUGCAAACGUUGCUCGGAAUUAUUGGGCGUAAAGCGCACGUAGGCGGCUUAGCAAGUCGGAAGUGAAAUCCCUCGGCUCAACCAAGGAAGUGCUUUCGAAACUGCUGAGCUUGAGUACUUAAGAGGAUCGCGGAAUUCCGGUGUAGAGGUGAAAUUCGUAGAUAUCGGGAGGAACACCAGUGGCGAAGGCGGCGAUCUGGGAAGAUACUGACGCUGAGGUGCGAAAGCGUGGGAGCAACAGG